rnacentral:rRNA from 1 species
UAGGGAAUCUUCCGCAAUGGACGCAAGUCUGACGGAGCAACGCCGCGUGAGUGAAGAAGGUUUUCGGAUCGUAAAACUCUGUUGUAAGAGAAGAACAAAUUGUAGAGUAAAUGCUACAGUCUUGACGGUAUCUUACAAGAAAGCCACGGCUAACUACGUGCCAGCAGCCGCGGUAAUACGUAGGUGGCAAGCGUUGUCCGGAUUUAUUGGGCGUAAAGGGGGCGCAGGCUGCUUCUUAAGUCUGAUGUGAAAGCCCACGGCUUAACCGUGGAAGUGCCUUGGAAACUGGGCAGCUUGAGUACAGUAGAGGAAAGUGCAACUCCAUGUGUAGCGAUGGAAUGCGUACAUAUAUGGAAGAACACCAGUGGCGAUAGCGACCUUCUUGUCUGUCCCUGCCGCUGAGGCCCGAAAGCGUGGGUAGCAAACAGG